CACGUAGGGCGCAAGCGUUGUCCGGAAUUAUUGGGCGUAAAGAGCUCGUAGGCGGCCUGUCGCGUCGGAUGUGAAAGCCCGGGGCUUAACCCCCGGGUCUGCAUUCGAUACGGGCAGGCUAGAGUGUGGUAGGGGAGAUCGGAAUUCCUGGUGUAGCGGUGAAAUGCGCAGAUAUCAGGAGGAACACCGGUGGCGAAGGCGGAUCUCUGGGCCAUUACUGACGCUGAGGAGCGAAAGCGUGGGGAGCAAACAGG
rnacentral:rRNA from 1 species